rnacentral:rRNA from 1 species
AGAGUUUGAUCCUGGCUCAGAUUGAACGCUGGCGGCAUGCUUUACACAUGCAAGUCGAACGGUAACAGGCCGCAAGGUGCUGACGAGUGGCGAACGGGUGAGUAAUGCAUCGGAACGUGCCCAGUCGUGGGGGAUAACGCAGCGAAAGCUGCGCUAAUACCGCAUACGAUCUAUGGAUGAAAGCGGGGGACCGUAAGGCCUCGCGCGAUUGGAGCGGCCGAUGUCAGAUUAGGUAGUUGGUGGGGUAAAGGCUCACCAAGCCAACGAUCUGUAGCUGGUCUGAGAGGACGACCAGCCACACUGGGACUGAGACACGGCCCAGACUCCUACGGGAGGCAGCAGUGGGGAAUUUUGGACAAUGGGCGCAAGCCUGAUCCAGCAAUGCCGCGUGCAGGAAGAAGGCCUUCGGGUUGUAAACUGCUUUUGUACGGAACGAAAAGGCUCUGGUUAAUACCUGGGGCACAUGACGGUACCGUAAGAAUAAGCACCGGCUAACUACGUG